UGGCAGAGAUAACUGUGCCGCCUCUC
rnacentral:piRNA from 1 species